rnacentral:lncRNA from 1 species
GACCAUGGGGUGAGAGGGAAGUGAAUUCUCCACUUCAAUUCACACCCAAGCGUCUCGUAGCCAUGGCGUUUCAGACUGGUAGAGUCAUUGUGACAUUAGGUUUCACCUAUGUUGAUGUAGCAGGCAAGAGGCACACUAUUGGCUUAGUUGGCGGUGACCGUGGGAAAAAUACUGCCGUAAGUGAACUCUAAAUUCUGCAGAGGUUGUCUUUAAUUUGUGGGUGUUGCGAAUUUGCUACCCUGUUUUUCAAUGUUUGUCCUGCUCGGCAUCAUGUUUUAACAUGAGGCAUCAGUGGAACCUUGCAAGCAAGCUGGUAUGCUUGUUCAAUCUUGUGAGAGGUAUACUAACCAGUAUAAUCUUAGUUUUCCUUUCCUUUUUCCUUUUUUCCCCGUGCAGAUCAAGUUUGCACCAACGGAGUAUGUAACUGAAUUCGCUGGAUCAACCAUUGUUGACACCGAUGGAACAUCUGCUGUGAAGUAUCUCAGGAUUCAAACAAACUUAAAAACAUAUGAGAUAAAUGAAAAAGGGUCGAGCGCUUCAGAUACGGAACAUCCUUUUAGAGUCCCUCUGCCAGAGAAUUCUACCAUUGUGGGAUUCUUUGGACGUCAACAUAUUGUUAAAGGACAUGUAUAUUCAAUUGGGAUUUAUGUGAAUUCCACAACACAGGAAAGCCAAGACACUUCUCCCCCAGAUAUAUCUGUUCCUGUGUUCAUUUUAUACUCAUUUAGACCCUGCAUAUCCGUCUGUAAUAUAAUUUGCAGGUUGUUCCCCUUGGAGCUUGGGGUGGGGAUGGAGGUGAAGCAUUUGAUGUCUCGGCGCCACCCUUGCGCCUUGAAAGCAUGACUAUUCGUGCUGGCAACACUGUUGAUGCAUUUGGGUUUUCCUAUGUUGACGAAGCAGGGCGGAGGCACAUCAGAGGUCCAUCUGGUGGUACCGGUGGCCAACUUACAACAGUGAGUAACCUCUAAAAUACCCUCAAGUCAUCUUAGCUAAACUUAAUGGGCAAUGUGAAUUAGCUACCGAAACUGCAUGCAGAUCAGGCUCGCACCAACGGAGUUUGUGAAUAGCAUUUCUGGAACCAUUGGUCGGUCUUUUGGUUCCCAAUCAAGAUCGUUAGUGGCAUCGCUACAGAUUGGAACGAACGUCAGAACGUAUGGGCCAUACGGAAGAAGGAACCCCGGCGACGAUCCAUUCAGCAUCCCGUUGCCGGAGAAUUUUUGCGUCGUGGGAUUUUGGGGACGUGCUGGGAAUCUUCUUGACGCCAUUGGUGUUUACAUAGGUCAGAGAAAAUCCGUCAUCCCGAGACCCAUCCCUAUUGCAUAUGAUGAAGAAACCUCAGGUAACAAAGAUGAAGAAUCCUACCCACUACAGCCCACCAUCACUGGACAGGUAUUGUGCCCCUUUGUUCGUCAUUACAUACCUUGUUAGAGCCCGAUAUUCACUGUUCAUACCUUAGCUCUAUACGUGCAACUUUCUCUUUGAAAAAAAAUGCUGCCUCAUCUAUAACUUACAGACCCCUCCUAUCAAGAUUGGAAUGUGGGGUGGGGGUUUUGCGGCGGGGUUUGAUGUCCCAGUCGGAGCGCCACCUAAGCGCCUCGACAGUGUGAUGAUUCGAGUUGGUGAAAUCAUUGAUGCAUUUGGCUUUUCCUAUACUGAUCAAUCUGGUGAGAAGUUCACUCGAGGUCCAUAUGGUGGGAGUGGUGGGAGUCUUACCACGGUGAGUGAACUUUGCAGGCUGUAGGUCUCUCUUUGCAUAUGUGAAAUUAAAGCUGCUAAACCCAGUGAGGAUUGUGGGUUAGCUGCCUUACCUUUGGCAUGUUUAAUUUCUUCCUGCAGAUCCAGCUUGAACCAUCAGAGUAUGUGAAGAAUGUCUCUGGAACAACUGGUACUUGGGAUGGAUAUCCGGUUGUAGCGUCCCUAACUAUUGAAACCAACUUCCGGGUGUAUGGGCCAUAUGGAAAAGCGCAGGACAUGCAUUUCAGAGUUCCCCUCCCCGAGAAUGCUUGCGUUGUGGGAUUCUUUGGAAUGUAUGAAACCAACCAUCUUGAUGCAAUUGGCGUUUACGUGAGUGGUUGCGUCCCAAACUAGUCUGAGCAGGGCCCGAGAAGGCACCUCAAAUAAACCAGGACCUUCGUCCUCAGCGAGUUCAGCUUUCCAGUGUGUUUCAGUCAAAAUAAGAUGAUCAUAUCAUCAUGAGCGUGGUCUGCGUUUGCCACUGCAAGGGUAGUCCUAAUAAUCCCUUGUUGCCAACAUUGUAAUGCGAGUGUUCUUUUUUCUUCAUGUAUGAGAGUGGUUAUGUUGUCACCUAUGGUGUGGAAUAAAUUUUCUAUGGGAUUAUCUCUUUUGGAUGCAGAAAAUUUGAUAAUGUCCAUACGUUUUUGUAAAAGUUCAUCUUACUGCUAUUAAUUAGAGUCUUCUUUUGUUACCUCAUCAGUUGCAGUAAUAGCCAUUGGAUUUAUUUUAUUUUCUAAAUAGUUACACACACCUACCGUUACGAAAAUAGUAUAAAUUAAUCCCCUAAAUCCGUAUCUAAAUUAAUGCCAUAGUUGAUCACUGCCCUGAGAAUGGUAUGAGGCGUUAUCAGCACAUGAACAAAGAACAUGAGGCGAAAACCAAAGACAAUGACCAUAGUAGCUUAGCCAGAUCUUCGAGCAUAGCGGCAAGGUCGAUCUACCUGCAUGAGACCAAAAAUCUGACGCAAUACAAGACAACCCAAUCCAAGAAAACACAGAAGCGCAUCUGCCUGAUAAUCAGGUCAGGGCACUCCCUGUUGGCUUGGGCAGACCUUAUAAGGAGAUCUGCUGUCAUUGAGAUCAAGGGAGAUGUGCAACCCACACAAGGAUUGCGAGCCAAGGCGAGCCAAGGAGAUAUGACCACAAUGGAGGUACCUUUUACUUUUGAUCAUUGGAUUUGAACAUACCAGAGGUUCCUUUAGUUCAAGAGCUGUAACACACCUGUUCCUUUCUCUUAGUAGUGUGACAAUUUCUAGCUAUUUGCCUCCAUUUCUAUUUAAUGUGGUAAUAGCUUAUACUUUUGAAAUUAUUAAGAUACUACAUUUAGUAUUAUAUAUGCUAGUUACCAUUUCAACCAGUAUAUCAGCAUGACCUAGGUCUGUAUUGUGCAUAUGAUAGAGUUAAUAAUUGAGUUACUAAAGUGCAUGCAAGUUUGAUACUCUAUGAUUUUUAGAAGGCCAUAAUAUGUUUCUUACCCGAACAAUUAAUAAAAUGGUCUCAAAAAUCCAUCGAAGUAUUUUUUUUCAACCUUUUUUAGCAAUGAUAUAUCCAAACCAGCUGAUCAGUUCACCCCAAAUGAUUGUGAGAUGAUAUCUACACCAUACUAAUUAUUUAAGCAUUAUAUUAAGAUUUUUCCUUAAUUAUAUAUUCUAAUGAUUGAAAACAAUGGAAGCAUAUAAUACAGGUUUAAACCUAGAAAAUGUCAAAACGCAUUAAAAUAAUCUGAAUAUGUUGAAAUUGUGUUAAUAAGCUAAUGUUAAUGGAAGGGAGAGGAAGAGGCCAGUGCAUUAUAUCAGAACUGAACAACAUGAUCUGUAUCCACACUAUCCAGACAAUAAUUCUUCGAUAAUCCAAACUUAAAUAAUCAGUACCACAAUAGGAUUUCUCCGCUGUCUUUUCGAUAGGUCACGUCACUGUGGCACCAAUGUCCUUUGUUUACCAAGUGUCGCUGUGGCGUUUACUGUUUUCCGCAUACAAGCCAACUAAUAGGAGAGAAGCAUCAGACAUGAGUGGGUGCUAAGCCAACUAAUCCGAUUCGGCUAUGGAUUCGACGCCAAAUAUAAUAUAUAUGAAACGUCAUAUCCAUUAUUGCCGAUCAUUUGGGGCGGUGCAGUUGCAUGGAUAAACACAUGUCCUCUCUACUCAUAGUGCAUGUGCCGCUUUCCUUUGUGCUAGCUGGUGGGCAGAACGAAAUAGCAUGAAGGUCAAUGAUGCAAAAUAAUCGACAGACGACGACAGUACAAGCUUCAGAUAGGUCAGAACCUCAAGAUUGUCAAGUUACUACUAAUUUGGACAGCUCGUUCCAUGUGACAUCACAUUCUCGCCAAUGGAGAUUAACUUUUGGUGAGAGAUGCGCGUGAUGGAACUGGGAGAGGCUUUUGGCCACUGAUGCCGCCAUGCAUGAUGCAUGGGACCCGUGAAGAGGGCUGCUUAAUAAUGCUGAUGCAUACUCCAUGCAUGUCUUGGAUGUUCGAAGAUGUUGAGUUGACGAAUGCAUGAGGUAGUAUUGUCGAUAAUGCCAGCUGCCAGGGAAGUGGCAAUUAUCAGAAAAUGGAGACAAUAACAAAAGAGUUGCUUUAUUAAUUAAAGACACUUUCAUGAAUUGAAUUUUUAUUAGGUUAUGGAAAUAUGUUAGUAAUCAUAGGCAAAAACAAUGUCAAAAUUAAAAAAAAUAUCGUAUUUUACAUGUGUUCUAUAUGUACCCACUCGCCCCCUUGGAGUUCCAAAUACAUGGGUACGGCUAAUGUAGUAAAUGAAAUGGAAUGACCCCUCCAUUAUUAAUAUAAUUAACUUUUAAAAGUUGCUUAAUCUCAAUGCAUUACUAAUAACCACAAAAAUAUAUAUUGGAGGAAGGCAUGAGAAAUAUGCUCGUGUCAGUAAAGUCGUAUAAUACAUUUCAAUGCAAACAAAAAAAAAACGAAUGGUCCAAUAAAUUCUACUGCAUAUAUAGCGAAUAUUCAUGUAAGAACUCAAUAUUCGGCCAGGACCUCAAAAAUCAGCAAAUAUAUAUGCCUAAAUGCUCAGAUUAUUAAGCCUCUCCCGCGUCAGUUCGCCGAAUUGGAUAAGACACCGAGCAGAUGCCUCUCUCCCAAUUGUACGUUUGGGUUCGUACAAUAAUGUCUACUAUAUAGAUGAGCCCCUUUGUUGGAAUAGUAGUGGUUUUGUCACAUUGCCACCCAAAAAAAAAACUGCAGCGUUGUCUGAUGCGAUCUGUUUUGGCACAUGGCACUGGUGUAGGCGGGUUUAAGGCUUAACUUUGACAGACCCAAUAAUCAUGGAACUUGGCAAAGAUUGCAUGCAUAGUCAUAAUAAAAACUCGAAGAGAUUCUAAGUGGUAAGACACUCACGCGGGUGAAAGGAAUUAACCAAGAGAUUCUCACUUCUUGUCAAAUGAGUUAAGAACGGUUUCGGACUAAAUUUUGGAAUGGCACCUACUUGAGUAAUUCCCACUAAGUUAGGAAUAAUAUUUGACACAAUAUGUGACAAUGUGGUAGAAGUCGUACCACUAAACCCCUACUCAUGCAGAUAGUACUGUUUGACUCCAAUUAUUGGAAAACUUAUCUCUUAUACCAUCUCCUAGACAUACGAGCUAGCAUCUAACACUCUAAUCAUUGGAGAGUAGGCUUAUUGUAGUUCACCGUUUACUCUCACUCUGUCAUCAAUAUCAAAGAGGUUCCUGUUGUUCACCAUUUACUCUCACUCUCACCCGAGCGCGACUAUGCGUUGUAGACGCGCCGCUGUGUUGCCUUCAGCGAGCACACAGCCCAGGACCGCCGCUGGCCCACAACCACACCACCACCACCUUCCUCCCUGCAUGCCCUCGCCCCGCCCUCCUGCAUCGUCGCCGGCGACCCUCCCCCCGUGCGCUAACCCGGCUCCGCCGCGACUCCCCCGCUGCCUUCCUCCUCCAGCUCCGGCGGUGUUGACAGCAGUUAGCGCGCCAAUUUGUAAACCACAAGUGCAUGGAUCAGUUGUAGCUCCCUUAGAGUAUUCCCCCAAGGUUUAUCAAUCCGUGGAACAAGUGGAUUGCUGGCUCUCACUUUAUACCAAUCUUGCUAACGAAACUGGGUGUAUGUAUUGUGUAGAAAGACAAACUAAACUAAUAACAAAGAUUGAGGCAAUAUAGCAAAGGUUGACACAAGAUAGGAGAUAGAGAUAGAUAUAAGUGUUCCCUCCCUAGAAUCUAGGUUCACAAGAAUAUGCAUCUACUACAAAGAUGGGUGCUACCCUCACUAUCUGUCACAGCGGUUACGUGCUCGCUCAGCCUUUUUCCCACUGCAUAUUGUCACUAUGCAGGGAUAAUCAAUCACCUCGCUCACACACACUAUAUUUCGCAGAGUUAUGCUAAUCACCACGAUUACCAGAAACUCUACUAAGAACAUAUGUUGUACAUGAUAGAGAUCUCACAUAUGUAAACGAAGCAUUGCAACGACAUAGACUACGAUGCAUUAAUCAACAUAAAGAACAUGUAGUAGUUACAUAUCAAGGACCAUAUCAACCCUAGGGAUGAACAGAGGCUUUACCCUAUGAUCUUACACAUGUUGACGAGUAAAGGGGGUAAGGAGCACCUGGAGAACACCCUGACCGAAGACGAAGACGAGGGGAGGCGCGAGGGACUCAGACCGAUUAGCCUGAACCACCCUAGGCUGAUCGGCCUAGGGGUUUCCUCCCUUCUGUGGAGGUCCCCUUCGAUGAUGAAGCUCCUGAUCAGAUCUAAUCUCUAUUUCUUCUCUUGUGGCGGUAGUGGCGGCUAGGUCUAAACUCGUCAGGAUUCCGCCUCCUUGUUGAAAGUCUUGGGUAUUUAUAGUUGGUGGCGUCGGUUGGGGUGCCUUCGAAGCUAAGUUUCUGAAAAAUAACCCCAGGAAUGUCGUGGGCAACCGCGACGAUCAGGGCCAAAAACAGGCUAGGCCGAUCGUCCUGGACCCUUGUAGGCUGAUCGGCCUGCCUUGUUUUGGCCUCCAAUGCCCGGGCGCUUCGUACAAAAGUUGUAGAUCUCCUCGAGCCAUGCAAUUUUCCCUAUAAAUUUGCCCCAAUCAAAGUUUGGAUCAGAAAGAUAUGGCCUAUGCAAGUUUCAGCUCCUCCUGCGGACCUGCAGUUCAAUGUUCAUGUUUGGGCCUUCCAUUAUCCAAAGUCCGGACCCAAUUCCAACUUGUAAAAAACACUUCAAUUAUGUUAUAUUUCAUGUGAUUUUGCAAUAUGCUCCAAAAUACAACACGCAUGCAAUAAUGGGGUUAUUUCAAGUGCCAAGUGGCGGGUUAGUAUAAUCAUAUGCAUGAAAACACUACUUAAAUGGCACUAAAAGUGUGUAAAUAACGAGCGUCAACAGGUGGCUCCUGCCACCGCAUCCGCCACCGCCACCCUAACCUAGCUUCGUCGGGGAGCUUACCUCCAACCCUUGCCCCUGCCCGUCCCUAGCCCACCGAUUGUCCAGCCGCCGACCCCAACCGGCGGUGUCCCCGCCACCGCGCCGCAUCGCCCCGCAACCCGUCUCUACCGCCAGGCCUACCUGUGGCCCCCACUCCCCCUUUCUAAGGUCAACGGCGAUUAGGGCUCCCCCGACAGCCCUAAACCCGAAGCUCGAAGCCCUAACACCGAUAGCGGCGGCGACCCGAAGCCCUAACAGGAGAGGAGGGAGGCGGGGGAGAGGAGGAAGGCGGAGGGCUGUCGGACGGAGGGAGAGGAAGAAGGUGGGGGAGAGGAGAAAGGCCGGCUGUCGAAUGGAGGGAGAGGAGGAAGAGAGAGCUGACAGGUGGGUCCCUCAUAUAUGACAGAUUGUUAUCUGUCGCAUAUGCGAUAUAUAGUCGUGGCGCUCUCACCCAGCAUCGUAAAUAUACCUCAUAAAUUUAGAGUCUCUAAGUCUGGUGCAGUCACUUGUUGGAAUAGUUGUGGCGCCCUUUACCAUCAUGUCUCCAUAAACAAACAAGGGACACAUUCUACAGUGCCAUGCGUGAUAUGCCUAGGUAGCCACAUGCGCUAAUUAGCUUAGAGAUUAUUCGUUCACACCAAACUUUGACAUGCCUAUUCAUUGAAGAAAUAACGGAAAACCCAAUGAUCACCGUACUCGAUAGAAGUACCUGUAUAGCAAUAGUGUUCCUUUUGUCGUCCUGCUCAUCUCACUGGAGUACGGUGUCAGUGAGACACGCAAGCUUCAGUACUAUCUGCACAUGCAUACAUGCCAAACGGACAACAGGGAAACUAGAAAAAUUACUACGUAGUCAAGAAUCUUCACUUUCUUCGUUUCAAAAAAAAAAAAGAAUCUUCACUUUUCAUUCAACAUAAUUCACAUGUAGUAGCUAGGUGGGGUGACAAUUCUUAUAGACAGUUGCUACAUAUCACCUCUCUUAAUUAUAAGACGUGAGAAGGAUAUGAUGUUAAACAUAAAGCAUAGAAGCAUGCAUGAUCGAUUGUUUCAUGAUCUCUUCCAUAAUUGCAUGAUAUAUAGCCAUCAUAUUUCUUAGAUAAUGUGUUCAAGCCUCUACACGAAAUAAUGCAUGCAGCCUGGUUUGUAAUCAGUAAUAAGCAAGCGGCAAUGAUACCCAUGAGUAUCACUGCCGGUUUUUUACAAGAACCGCAGUGAUGAGCUUCUUUAUUCUUGAAGAUGUUCAUACUACUCGUGAUACUUGAGAUGCCUACAACGCUGAUCCACAUGAGGAGAGUAAUCCAGUGCAAAUUAAUCCAUUAUAAUAAUUAAAUAUACACGUGACAUUUUCCUAACUAGCUCGCUACCACUCUAUAAAUGCAACCUGCUUCCUUCCAUUCUUCCGCACGCAGGCACAACAGCACAACCACGCAACAAACCAAGUAGACAAAAGCUACUUCGAUCUUCCCUGCGACCACCCAUCAUGGAUAGAAUUAGAGAGGUACAUAUACUUUGAACACUGAGCAUAUGCAGAUCCUGAUCGAUUGAAUUAGUUGUGUUUGGUCACCGUAAAAUGUUCUAAUUCAAAAUCUCUCAAAUUUGCAGACCCUUCCCAUCAAGGUUGGACCAUGGGGUGGGAGUGAAGCGAAUCCAUUUGACAUCACAGAGGAACCCAAGCGUCUCGAAAGCGUGACGGUUCGGUCUGGCGCUGUCAUUAAUUCAUUUGGUUUUACCUAUGUUGAUCUAGCAGGCCAGAAGCACACCGUUGGCCCAGUUGGAGGUAACGGUGGGAAGCUUACUACGGUAAGUGAAACUCUAAACUGUGUAGUAUUGCCUUUCUUUUUUCUCAUGUAUUCUAUCGUUUUAUUUUUUCUUUUCAUUUUUCCCAUGCAGAUCCAGUUUGCACCAACGGAGUACGUGAAGGGAUUCGGUGGAUCCGUUGGUCCGACACAAGGAACAUGGGUUGUGACGUGUCUCAAUAUUGAAACAAACCUAAGAACACACGAGAUAUAUGACCAAGGGAACAUGUUUCUAUCUCUGCCAGGGAAGGUUCCUUUUGGCGUUCCCUCGCCAGGGAAGGAAAUUCCUUUUAGCAUCCCUCUGCCAGAGGACACUAGCAUUGUGGGAUUCUUUGGACGUGCAGGGGCUAAUCUUGAAGCCAUCGGCGUUUAUGUGAAAUCGACAAACAUAGACACAAUAGAAGAAACCACAAGUAACCUGGACACUUGUUCCCCGGAUGAACCGAUCAUCAUUGCCGAGGUGAUGCAUACUUAUUAGCUCAUUUCCUACCUUGCUUGUUCUCCUUUCUAUUUAAUUUUAACCAUGUUAAUUAAUUGCUUCCUCUAAUUUGCAGGCUGUUCCCAUCAAGAUUGGAGCAUGGGGUGGGGACGGAGGGACGGAGUUUGAUGUCACAGAGCCACCCAAGCGCCUUCAAAGCAUGACUAUUCGCGCUGGAGAUUCUAUUGAUUCAAUUGGAUUUUCCUACAUUGAUGAAGCAGGCAAGAAGCACAGUGAAGGUCCAUUUGGCGGUACCGGUGGGCAACUUACAACGGUACCGAGCUAACUGUCGAGGCUCUUGCAGUCAAUCUAGUAUGUUGUUCUGUGUUAUACAGAGAAUGCAGUAACGCAGCUAACAUUUUUCCCCCCGUGCAGAUAAAGUUCGCACCAUUGGAGUAUGUGAAGAAGUUUUCUGGAACGAUUGGGCGAGCUGUUGGCUCUGGGGAAAUGUUGUUUGUAGCGUCGCUAGAGAUUGAAACAAACGUCAAAAAGUAUGGGCCAUACGGAAAAGAGGACAACGACUAUCCAUUCAGCAUCCCGUUGCCAGAGAAUACUAGUGUCGUGGGAUUUUUCGGACGUGCAGGGAGGCUCAUUGAUGCUGUUGGUGUUUACAUAUAUUAUUGCAAAUCCCCUCUCAUUGAUGCAACUGAAGAAACCUCAGGUAACAAAGAUGAAGAAACCUCAAAGAACAAAGACACCACUUCCGCACCACCACUCACCAUCACUGGACAGGUAUUGUGCCCUUUGCUAGUCAUUACCUACCUUGCAUUGUCAUUCACUAUUCAUACCUUAGCUUUAUACGUGCAACUAACUUUCUCUUUGAAAAAAAUGCUGCUUCAUCUAUAAUUUACAGACCUCUCCUAUCAUGAUUGGAAUGUGGGGUGGGGAUGGAGGGGAGGAGUUUGAUGUCACAGAGCCACCGAAGCGCCUCGACAGCGUGAUGAUUCGAGCUGGUGAAAUCAUCGAUUCAUUUGGCUUUUCCUAUAUUGAUCAAGCUGGUCAGAAGCACACUCUAGGUCCAUAUGGUGGGAAGGGUGGGAAGCUUACCACGGUAAAUAACAUUGCAUGCUGUAUGUCUCUUGCAUUUACUAAAAGUAGCAUAGAGGUCUAGUAACCU